rnacentral:lncRNA from 1 species
AUAUUUUAUCUCAUGACCUAACUCCUUAAAAAGCUAAAUCCCAUAUUCUGCAUAUAUAGGACACUUAACAAAUAUUGAUGUAAAUCUGAAUGAGAGAAAGAGGCUAAGUGGCACAAAAUGUUUUUCUUUGAUGAGGGGAGUAGAAGAUUGUUUUGUUUUUUUGUUUUGAAUUUUGUCUAUAGGAAGCAAAUUAUUGGUCCUAAAAUAUACUUCCCACUCUUAUGUAACUUACAACAAAGCUCCAAAUGAAAUGCAGUAUUGUACUUCCUACAUUGAUUAAAUGGCUAAAAGCAGGAAUUAAGCCAUUUAAAACUUUUACAUAAGUAGGACUAGAAGACAGCACAGUAGAGAGAAAAUAAUGCUGAACUGGGAAUUAUGAGAACCUCAGUUUUAUCUUAUUCUGUGCAAACAUAGGAAAGUCACUUCAUUAUUUGCACCUCAAUUUCCUCUGUAUAAUGGGAAAAUUGGACUGUAUAACCUCUGAGGUCUUUUUCUGGCAUAUGGUAUAUAUGAGGGCAGGGAAAGGAAUGAUCAGAGAGAAAAGUAUAGGCAGGGUACUGGAGACAUUGACUAGACACAGGGACUCAACAAAUGGCUAAUCCACAGAGGCGAUGAUUUCUCUGGGGCAUAAAUUCCUUUUCCCAUCUUUACCUCCACCUUGACACUUUUCAGAUUCAGCUCCUUUUCUGAAAUUUCUCACUCCCUCUCUUUUCUUACCAGAAUAGUUGAGACUCCUAUGUGAUGGAUAAAACAAGAGGAUUUAAAUAUAGCAAUAAUCAGAAUUUAAAACAUCAAUUUCUUUGGGGGUUUUUUUGCUCUCUAAAAAAUAAAAAUCCCUCUUAUGACAGAUCAGCUUUACCUAUCACCUUCCUGCACUUGGGGAGACAUAAUAAACAUAUUUUUCUUUAAAAUGGCAUGAAAACAAACCAUUUCUACUCUUAAAAUUAUAUAAGCAUGCAUAUGCCUAUUCAAUUUGAUAUUAGAAGGAGGAAUUGUCCUAUAUCUUGGGGAGUGAAAGAAGAUAAUGAGUUUAGCUUGGUAUAAAUAAUGUUUGAGACACAGUUCUGUUCUCCUUCCUAUAAAUACAGACUAUAAAUCUUAUUAAUCAAACUUCAUUUUCUCUCUUUGUGAAUGUAAGAUUUUAAUUGUUCUAAUCCCUUCCCUGUUGAUUUCUUGCUACAAUUUCACACAGCAGCAGGUCACCUCUUUCUUUUUUCAGAAAUACAUUAGCACAGUGCCAUAGUCCUAAAUAAUAUAUUUUUUAAUUGAGUGGAGGGGAAAAAAAGAGGAACUCAACUCUGAAGUUCAGGGACCUAAAAAUAGUCUUCCCAAGAGGACACACAUUUACUUUUUGGAAGCCAAUGUUAAUUAGCUUUGGCCUUCACAACAGAGGGAAAAAAACUCUAUAUUCCAUUUUUAGGAAUCCCUAUCUACAAAGAGUCAAUGUAUUGACUAGAGAAUACUAUUUAUCUUUAACUAAUAUUAAAAAAUUCAGAAGGAAAUUUUUUUACUGCUUGGCCACUGGAAGUCCAUAUUUAAUACACAUAUAUAACUAUAAAGGACUAUUUUCUACAAUAUGGUACAUGUGAAAAAUGCUUUGACUGAGAUUCCAGCUGAUAACUGUGUGAUUCUGAGUAAACUACUUCAUUCCUUUGGGCCUCAUUUUUCUCAUCGGUAAACAGUUGUAAAAUAGUUGAGGAUUCUCUUAGUGAAAGCAUUUUAUAAUCUUAUAAAAUGAAUUUUUAAAUUAAUCUUAAAAAUAUAUAUACUUUUCAUGUGUCCCAUUAAAAAUCUGGAGGUAUGUAAAGCUGUGCUGUACAACAGAGUAGCCACUAGCCAAAUGGGGCAAUCUUAAUUUAAAGUGAUUAUGUAUAAAAUAAUAUAAAUUCAGUUCUUUAGUUGCACUAGCUACACUUCAUAUGCUCAGAAAACCAUAUGUAGCUAAUGAAUACUGUACCAGACAAAACAUAUAUAGAAUAUUUCCAUCACCACAGAAAGUUCUAUUUAUUAGUGCUGAUAUGAAGGGACAGAAAAAAAGUACUGUGAUGUAUUAUCCUUAUACAGCCCUAAAAUAAAAGUUUCUUUCAUUCUUUCAACUGAUUAUUCCAGUAGAUUUCAAUCUUACAUAUCUUUGAAUUUAGUUUUUAACCAAUUAUAAAUAUGCCUGCUUUUUGCCAUUAACCAACUAGCUUUCUUAUUAUUCAUAAGAAUGUCAUGAGAGAUAUUAUGAAAUGCCUUGCUGAAAUCCAAGUGCCCAAUGUCUGUUGUAAUGGACAUCCAUAACUCCACCAAAGGAAAUAAAUAGAGGUUAGAGGGCUCUUCUGUCAUGGCCACUUAUUAUUAAACUCAUGCCAGUCCCUCAUGCCGUAUUUUCUAAACACGAACAAACCAUUAGUAAAAUUACAUCUUCUAUAAUCUCACCUGCAAUCAGUGCCCUGCUGAUAUCAAUCUCCUUUUAAAAAAAGCAGAACUAUAGAUGCUUCUCCUCCAUUUCUAAGGUCUCUCUUCUGUCCAGCACUCCUCACAGAUUAUUGACAAUAGUCUAGUCAUUUCUUCGUACCCACAGAUGUAAUUUUGAUCUCCUAGAUAAUUUUAAACUCAGUUAAAAUAAAGUGUUCCCUGUGGAUUUCAGAUUUCUUCUCCAUGAAUGUUCUACUUACUCAAGUUUGAAAAUAAUAUUCUGACAGUUUUUCUCUUCCCUCUGUUAGUUUAGCAUUUUCUAUUUUGCCUGCAAGUUUCACACCAUUAGAGCACCCUUCCUUACUUUUCUUUCUCCCAAACUAUAAAUAGAAUCAUAUUCAUCUUAUCCUUCAAAUUUUUAACAGAUUUCAAUAAAUCUUAUUCUCUAGCCUAUCUGCCAGACUCAUUUUAUUCACCCUUAGUUAGUAAGCUUCAACAGAAGUUUAAGAAUAAAGGGACUCAGGAGUUCCCAUUGUGGUGCAGCAUAAAUGAAUCCGACUAGGAACCAUGAGGUUGAGGGUUCCUUCCCCAGCCUUGCUUAGUGAGCUGUGGUGUAGGCAGGUUGCAGACGCAGCUUGGAUCUGGCGUUGCUGUGGCUAUGGUGUAGGCCAACAGCAACAGCUCCUAAUAAACCCCUAGCCUGGGAACCUCCAUGUGGUGCGGCCCUGAAAACACAAAAGACAAAAAAAAAAGAUUCAACUAUAAUUUUAAAAGAUCAACUAUGCUUAAAUAACAAAAUAAUUUUUUUAAAAAAGAAUAGAGCUAUGAUGCCCAAACACAGGUAUAAAUACAACCACUUCUCAGGAAGGACUAAAACUGGCAAGUAGAAGGGUGUCACAUUUCAAAAAGAGCAAAAUUAACAGUGGUUCAUAAAACUCAUAAGGAAAGUAGGAAACAAUCAUAAGUUAAAUCGAAAAGAUAUGUUUGAAUUCAUAAUCAUAAAAAUAAAUAUUUUUCAGCACUGUUACUAUCAACAGUAACUCAGCGAAAGUAGCAAUUCUCUCCCACCUUCAAUGUGUACCCAGACUUUGAUCUCUAAUAUUCUUCCCAAAAUUAGAGAGUUGGUGAAUAACUCUUAUCAAUGCUUAAUGGAGGGUAAUUGAUUCCAUAUCUCAGGAAGAACAAACUUAAAAGGUGUUCAGACAUCCACUGUUUCCAAAAGUAAGACUUGCUUCCAAGAACUUCGGAGGAUGAGUAGGACAAUUUAGAGAUCUCUUACUAACCAAGAUAUGUCUAUGUCAGCAAAUAGUAAUAAUUAAUUGAAACAAGUAAUGUAUAACUUAAUGUAUAAAAGGCCAUGAAUAUGUAAAAGACCAGAACCUAUAAUGAUGGUCAAAGGAGAAAAACUAAUGUAAAGAAUACAAAACGUAGUGAUACAAAUCUAGAGUGAAUACAUAUUAUUGAACUUUUAUAGACUUAAAAGUAGGAAAGAAAUAAUACAUAAGCAUAUGACUGUUUAAAAAAUACGUAGAUUUCUCUCUGUAUCAGCAGUAAGUGAACUAACACAUGUGAGCCAACACCACAAAAUAUAGCAUCCAUGCAGGAACAGAAAAAAACAAAUCCACAGGCUUCACUGUUACAGCUAGGAAGAGUGAAAGCCCUAACUUGCUCUGGCAAAAGUGUAUCUUCCAAGAUGGUCAAUUAACCAAAUGUCCUAAAGAGUCAAAAAUAAAAGAUGCAUAAUCACAUCUUCACUUUCCAGAAACAAAACCUCUAAUUGUAAAGAAUUAAUUAUAAGAAUUGUAAUCAGUAACAUAUAUUUUAUAUCCAACAAUACAUCAUGCCAAAAUGCCACACCAUUUGUAAUUAAAUAAAGCACAAAUCAUUUAUUUUAAAAACGUAGGAAUUCUCAAAAAAUCAAAAUCAGUCAAAAAAUGAAAAUAAAAGGGUUCUACUAAUAACAAGUGGCAUUUUUUUGAUGAAAGUUUUGCAAACCAUACUUCCACUUCUAGGCUGGGUAUAGGUCAUAUCAGGGCAACACUCCUAACAACAAAGAAUAAAAAACUAGAUAAAUUAUAGGAAACUAUAUGAAACUAUAGAGACAAUAAGGAUAAGAGGGGUUAAAAUUUCACCUAGAAGAGAACUAGUUAAAGGUAAAUUAAGGAUUGUGACAGGUAUUUUUCCCCCCGGGAGCAUUUGCUAAUUCAGAGCACUGAGUCUCUAAGUUUAGUCUAAACAGAGACGUUACUGGGAUAAAAGAAAUUAACAUCAUUUUUAGCAGUUACACUGGGCUAGAGUGAAAUAUUGGAGAAUUAAGGAGCCCCAAAUGCAUCUCAAUAAUAUUUGUUGAAUUAUGAGAUUUAUGGGGAAAGCUAAAAAGUAAAGCCAAAAAUCUUCUAAAAGGCAGAGUGAAAUCCUGCAGUGCUUAAGAAAUGAAAAACCUCAAGGAGCAGGGAGAUUGCAAACAAAACAGGCAAGAGAUGAAAACCCUAGAGGGAGUGGUAAAUUGACCAUGAGCUCCACAGCCACUUUUCAUAUAGGGGCCAUUAUCAAUUCUGGGCUCACCUAGAAGCUGAAAACCUAGGUUUGGCCCUUGACUAACAGCCACUGUUGGAAAAAGAGAAACCUCAGAGGAUUUGGUAUUUCUGUAGAGCUAGAGUGAUUUAAUUGGACAUUUGGGGGUCCAGAAACUCAUAGUCAAUCUCUCCCUUAAGAUAUUUGCAAAAUUUUGAAGCUACAUGGGGCAGGAAGCUAAAGAGUUAAGCUGAAAAUUGAAUUUCCCACAGUCCCUCAGGGCUAAUAAAACAAAGCUUUCUCAGGUACUCAGCUGAAUGCCAUGAUAAAAAUCUGGGUGAGCAAGCAGUAUAUGGAAUCUUACCAAAACUGUUACCCAGGCCAGUCUCAGAGAAAACACUGAAUGGAUUGAAUUCAUCAGCCCUCUGCCUUGUGACCUAAUAAAGAAAAGAGGAAUCAUCUCUAGUGGAAUAUUACACCACACAGAGCCUUUUUGGUUCUAUCAUGCAUAAUAUUCACAACAUCGUUGGCGGUGUAAUAAAAAAAUAUAUAUUUUAUUUUUGCACGAAUGACCCAUUCUAGUACCAAGCUCUUAAAAUACUUGGAACUUCUGAAGUGAUAGGAGCAAGUUUUGAGCCACUUUUGAGCAUGAAUUUAUGCAUUCAUUUAUGCUAAUGAAACAACUCAAGAUAUAGCCCCUAGAUAGCUUCAGGCUGGGGGCUAAUCACCAGAGGAACCAAUCAUGUGAUUAGAAUGUUGGAAAUUUUAGCCCCAUACCCUGACCUCCAAGGAAGGGACUGAAGUAGGAAGUUGAGUUCAGUCAACAAUGGCCAAUGAUUUAAUUAAUCAUGCCUACAUAACAAA